rnacentral:rRNA from 1 species
GGGUCAGUAGGUUGGUCGUGCCACCGGUACGUACUGGUCUCACUGAUUCCUCCUUCCUGAAGAACCGUAAUGCCAUUAAUUUGGCGUUGCGGGGAAACAGGACUGUUACUUUGAAAAAAUUAGAGUGUUUAAAGCAAGCUGACGCUUGAAUACAUUAGCAUGGAAUAAUGAAAUAGGACGAUCGAUCCUAUUUUGUUGGUUUCUAGGAUUGACGUA